UACGGAGGGAGCAAGCGUUAUCCGGAUUCACUGGGUUUAAAGGGUGCGUAGGUGGGCAGGUAAGUCAGUGGUGAAAUCUUUGGGCUUAACCCGAAAACUGCCAUUGAUACUAUUUGUCUUGGAUAUUGUGGAGGUCAGCGGAAUAUGUCAUGUAGCGGUGAAAUGCUUAGAUAUGACAUAGAACACCAAUUGCGAAGGCAGCUGGCUACACAUAUAUUGACACUGAUGCACGAAAGCGUGGGGAUCAAACAGG
rnacentral:rRNA from 1 species